CUUUUGCUAAGUAUGUAAACAAAAACAGUUCAUGUACAAAACUUUCAAGAUGGGGCGUAUGAUGGCAAAACAUUAAUUAUAUUUAACCAGGCGCGCAAUGAGCAAACAUAAUUGCACUAAUUGCAUGAGUUAUUGGUAGAUGCUAUAGAGGAGCUGCAAAAUAAGCUGGAUAAGAUCCUAGUAAACCAAAAUAAGAUUCUCGCAAGCCUUUGUCAGGUGGCUCGCAUCAGAACCACUGGUGAUUUAUACAAGGCGGAACUGGACCUUUUUCCCGGGACUGAUCCCCACGAGCUUUUCAAUCUGGGCGCGAAUUUUUCAAAACCGGCAAUAAAUAUAUCAUGGCACGCAGCGUAAGCCUGAAUGUCGGAAUAUUAAAAACUUGACCUUUUACUUCUUAGGCUCAUAUUAUUAACCGCAUCCUGAGACCAGGACGAAAAGAACUUCUGAAAAACAAUUUUUCUAAUUAUUUGAUUACGAUAUUUUCUCAUGGUGUGAGCACUAAGCAGUCCUUUAAGCAAUACAAAUAUAUUAACAAAACUAUUUUUGGGAUACUGAAAACAGAUGGAUAUACCCAAGCGGACUACGUGGCCGAGGUGCCUUUCAAACAUUAAAGCGACUUUAUCGUAAAAGAAAAUAUUACAUACGGAGAAGGAUUAAACGGACCCAAAAGUGCGAGCUAGAUUCUGAUUGGGAUUAGCUGAUCAAUUGGUACCAAUGGAUUUCGAUUAUUUGACAACGUUUAUUUGAGCGAAAGGAAUAUAAAGUCAAACUGGUUUUGGCUCUCCGAAGAAUGUGUUCUUUCCGCUUAAAUGAGAUUAUUUUCGGCUUGCAUAGCACCAAUAAAAACGUCAGUUUUUUAAACCGUA